rnacentral:sRNA from 1 species
GUAGAAAUGAUUCGGACCAUCAUGUCACUGAGCAAAGCUGGGGGAAGCCAAAACUCAGAAUCUGCUGGCAAGGAAAAGAACGAAGGAAAAAAAAAAAUCCUUGCUGUUAGAGGCUCUUUCCCAGAAGUUGGACGAAGAGGCUCAGGCGUUGCUGUUUCUUGUCUUCCAAGUCAAGUGGUUACUCUGGUAAUGGAUUGCCUCUCUCCGAGCAGAUUGGAAGAUAUUGUUACAUUUCAGACCACAAAUCCCCACCUCAUUUUCAAUGAAUUUUUUGCUGAACUGUCCACCUAAAGUGGGUAAUAAAAAGAUCCCAGGGAGCAGGUUGCACUGUGUUUAAUAGUAACACAAUAAAGAUUUGUUGGCUGUCAUUCAAUGGAGAAGAACAUCAUUUGUUGCUGGCCACUUGCCUUGACAUUGAUUUUGUGGGCAGCCAAUGGGUGAUAGUUUGCAAAGAAUGCAUGUUAUGCCCAGCAAGAUUGGCGGAGUCUGAGUUGCUGUAAGUUCUGGGAUUAAUGGUACGAAAUAUUGUUUGUAAUGUAUUCUCCUCUUGAAUGAGACCAUCUUU